rnacentral:rRNA from 1 species
CCUACGGGAGUCAGCAGUGGGGAAUAUUGGACAAUGGGGGGAACCCUGAUCCAGCGACGCUGCGUGAGUGAAGAAGUAUUUCGGUAUGUAAAGCUCUAUCAGCAGGGAAGAAAGAAAUGACGGUACCUGACUAAGAAGCCCCGGCUAACUACGUGCCAGCAGCCGCGGUAAUACGUAGGGGGCAAGCUUUAUCCGGAUUUACUGGGUGUAAGGGGAGCGUAGACGGCGAUGCAAGUCUGAAGUGAAAGGCGGGGGCCCAACCUCCGGACUGCUUUGGAAACUGUAUGGCUGGAGGGCAGGAGAGGUAAGUGGAAUUCCUAGUGUAGCGGUGAAAUGCGUAGAUAGUAGGAGGAACACCAGUGGCGAAGGCGGCUUACUGGACUGUAACUGACGUUGAGGCUCGAAAGCGUGGGGAGCAAACAGGAUUAGAUACCCCUGUAGUC